GAUGAACGCUGGCGGCGUGCCUAACACAUGCAAGUCGAGCGAUUCUCUUCGGAGAAGAGCGGCGGACGGGUGAGUAACGCGUGGGUAACCUGCCCUGUACACACGGAUAACAUACCGAAAGGUAUGCUAAUACGAGAUAAUAUACUUUUAUCGCAUGGUAGAAGUAUCAAAGCCUUUGCGGUACAGGAUGGACCCGCGUCUGAUUAGCUAGUUGGUAAGGUAACGGCUUAUCAAGGCGACGAUCAGUAGCCGACCUGAGAGGGUGAUCGGCCACAUUGGAACUGAGACACGGUCCAAACUCCUACGGGAGGCAGCAGUGGGGAAUAUUGCACAAUGGGCGAAAGCCUGAUGCAGCAACGCCGCGUGAGCGAUGAAGGCCUUCGGGUCGUAAAGCUCUGUCCUCAAGGAAGAUAAUGACGGUACUUGAGGAGGAAGCCCCGGCUAACUACGUGCCAGCCGCCGCCGUAA
rnacentral:rRNA from 1 species